AGCGAACGCUGGCGGCAGGCCUAACACAUGCAAGUCGAACGAACCUUUCGGGGUUAGUGGCGGACGGGUGAGUAACACGUGGGAACGUGCCUUUAGGUUCGGAAUAACUCAGGGAAACUUGUGCUAAUACCGAAUGUGCCCUUCGGGGGAAAGAUUUAUCGCCUUUAGAGCGGCCCGCGUCUGAUUAGCUAGUUGGUUGAGGUAAUGGCUCACCAAGGCGACGAUCAGUAGCUGGUCUGAGAGGAUGAUCAGCCACAUUGGGACUGAGACACGGCCCAAACUCCUACGGGAGGCAGCAGUGGGGAAUCUUGCGCAAUGGGCGAAAGCCUGACGCAGCCAUGCCGCGUGAAUGAUGAAGGUCUUAGGAUUGUAAUAUUCUUUCACCGGGGACGAUAAUGAAGGUACCCGGAGAAGAAGCCCCGGCUAACUUCGUG
rnacentral:rRNA from 1 species